rnacentral:rRNA from 1 species
GGAUUAGAUACCCUAUUAUUAAGAAUAAAAAAUUGUAAGUAAAUAUUAAUUACGAAAGCAAAAAAUUAUGGCGGUAUUUUAAGCUUUUCAGAGGAAUUUGCUCUUUAAUGGAUAAAACACCUAAACCUUACUUAAAUUAGUACCUUUCAGUUUGUAUACCACUAUUAUAAUAAUAAUUUGUUAUUAUUAUUAAUAUUCUUAAAUUAGAAUAAAAUUAAGUCAAGGUGCAGCAUAAAUUUAUGAAUGAAGUGAAUUACAUUUCUUUAAAGAAAAAUGAAAUUGAAAUAAAACAUUUAGGAUUUGAUAGUAAAGUUAAAAUAUUAUGUUAAUUUGAAUAAAGCUCUAAAAUAUGUACAUAUCGCCCGUCACUCUUUUAUAAGAUAAGUCG